UACGUAGGGGGCUAGCGUUGUCCGGAAUCAUUGGGCGUAAAGCGCGUGUAGGCGGCCCGGUAAGUCCGCUGUGAAAGUCGAGGGCUCAACCCUCGAAAGCCGGUGGAUACUGUCGGGCUCGAGUGCGGGAGAGGCGAGUGGAAUUCCUGGUGUAGCGGUGAAAUGCGCAGAUAUCAGGAGGAACACCGAUUGCGAAGGCAGCUCGCUGGAACGUAACUGACGCUGAGACGCGAAAGCGUGGGGAGCAAACAGG
rnacentral:rRNA from 1 species